GGGCCCGCACAAGCGGUGGAGCAUGUGGUUUAAUUCGAUGAUACGCGAGGAACCUUACCAGGGCUUAAAUGUAACGGGACAGAUCUAGAGAUAGAUCCUUCUUCGGACUCAUUACAAGGUGCUGCAUGGUUGUCGUCAGCUCGUGCCGUGAGGUGUCAGGUUAAGUCCUAUAACGAGCGCAACCCCCAUCGUUAGUUGCCAACGAGUAAUGUCGGGAACUCUAACGAAACUGCCGGUGCAAACCGUGAGGAAGGUGGGGAUGACGUCAAAUCAUCACGGCCCUUACGUCCUGGGCUACACACGUGCUACAAUGGUCGGUACAGAGAGCAGCCACUACGCGAGUAGGAGCAAAUCUUUAAAGCCGAUCUCAGUUCGGAUUGGAGUCUGCAACUCGACUCUAUGAAGCUGGAAUCGCUAGUAA
rnacentral:rRNA from 1 species